AUUGAACGCUGGCGGCAGGCCUAACACAUGCAAGUCGAGCAGAUGAAGGGAGCUUGCUCCUGGAUUCAGCGGCGGACGGGUGAGUAAUGCCUAGGAAUCUGCCUGGUAGUGGGGGAUAACGUCCGGAAACGGGCGCUAAUACCGCAUACGUCCUGAGGGAGAAAGUGGGGGAUCUUCGGACCUCACGCUAUCAGAUGAGCCUACGUCGGAUUAGCUAGUUGGUGGGGUAAAGGCCUACCAAGGCGACGAUCCGUAACUGGUCUGAGAGGAUGAUCAGUCACACUGGAACUGAGACACGGUCCAGACUCCUACGGGAGGCAGCAGUGGGGAAUAUUGGACAAUGGGCGAAAGCCUGAUCCAGCCAUGCCGCGUGUGUGAAGAAGGUCUUCGGAUUGUAAAGCACUUUAAGUUGGGAGGAAGGGCAGUAAGUUAAUACCUUGCUGUUUUGACGUUACCAACAGAAUAAGCACCGGCUAACUUCGUG
rnacentral:rRNA from 1 species